UUACUUUUUUAUUGUAAAUUUCUCAGGGUAAGUGCAAGUAUUCAAUAAUUGUAAGAAAAAAGUAUAAACAUUUAGUCCAUGCAUUUAGUUGACAAAAUGAAUCCUCAUUAAUUUAAACAGUAUUAACUUUUAACUUUUUCUUCUUCUUAAUAUUAACUAUUGUAUGACAUAGAACUAGACUUCCUAGAAGCUCAACCUCCGAAACACUCAGAUCUGACGAAGCUAACUGGGGAACUUCAAGAUCCCAAUCACAUGCUCGACGAACUCCACCGUCAGGUGCUCCGCCACCACCACCUUCAUCACAACCUCAAAUGACAAGACACGAUAGUGUCCGUAGUGUACGCUGGGAAACACAAGAAGACAUGGUAUUCGAAGAUGUUGAUUCACCCAACCCUAUGUACAUGAUGAGAGAUAAUUUAAUUUAAUUUAAUUAAAUUUAAUUUAUAAUUUUAGUUUUCUAUACAUAGGUUAGGUAGUUGACAAUGUUUUUUUUUUCUAUUAUUAUAUUGUUAAUAAUGUUUUUUAUUUAU